CCUAUAGUCCCAGCUACAUGGGAGGGUGAGGCAGGAGAAUCACUUAAACCUGGGAGGUGGAGGUUGCAGUGAGCUGAGACCGCACCACCGCACUGCAGCCUGGGUGACAGAGCGAGACUCCAUCUCAAAAAAAAAAAAAGAAAGAAACACAGAAAUAUCAGGCAAGUACUAGUCAACAUCCUACCAAUGAAGUAACAUCCGUGUGGGGUGCAAGAGUGUUUGGGGAGAAAAGCUUGCAACAAUGCAUUCUACAUCAAGAAAAGUAAAACUCUUUGAGGAUGAUGUCAGAGGUUCCGUGUUCAAUUCCAUGUGCCAUCGUUAAACAGAAAUGUGUGAAGAACUACAGAAUGAACCAGGACAACUUGUUCAACGGAUUUAGAUUGCAAAUACAUUAUGGAGUAAAAAUAAUUCAAGUUGGGAAAUACCCCGUAUGAUACAAUUUAUCUACAAAACUUACGAAAGCCAUUUAUGUUGUUAUCAGCAUUUAUUAAUAAUUUUGUGUAUAUUAUAUAUGUCUGCCAUGUACAGAAAAAUAUAUACAGCCGUAUAGAGUCAGUAAUAUAUUAUGUAUUUAUGGACGCACAUAUCAUAUGCAGAGUUUGAGUGUAUACACAUCUACGUAUACAAACACAGUUUGAACACACACACAUACACACACACACACAUAUACACACAGACACACACACACAGACACACACACACACAUCUCAAAAUAGCAUUUCCUACUAAAUGAUGACGUUGCCUGGUGACAAAAAAGACAUGCUUAACUUCAUAUAAUAUUACACAUUUUGAAGUUGGAUAUGUUCACAGAUUACUCACAUAAAUAAUAAUAUUACAGAACAAACAAUUCCCUAAUAAUUAUUAUGUUUUUUUGAGACAAAAAAAAAUUAGCCAGCCAUGGUGACACAUGCCUGUAAUCCCAGCUACUCGGGAGGCUGAGGCAGGAGAAUCGCUUGAACCCAGGAGGCGGAGGUUGCAGUGAGCCGAGAUCGCACCACUGCACUCCAGCCUGGGCAACAAGAGUGAAACUCCACCUCAAAAAAAAAAAAAGAAAGAAAAAGAAAAAGAAAGGUACAGGCACAAAGAACGACCAACGGAAUAUAUUUGGACAAGUAUACCUUCAAAAAUCAAUACCAUGCUAAGGUCACAUUUUUGUGACUUGUAUUUGAACUGGAAAGCAGUGACUACAUCCUUUUAGGCCAAAUAAUGUUGAAACCACUAUUUACAACUUAGUGCACACACCGUUGCUAACCAAAUACCAUAUAACGAACCCUAAAUUGUUAGUCGUGAUGCUAAACUAACUGCAAUCGAUAGCAAGUCAUCAGGAUGCCAUAACUGCAUCUAUCUCUUGAAGUCCUGACCUCAGGUGGUCCACCCACUUCGGCCUCCCAAAGUGCUGGGAUGACAGGUGUGAGCCACCGCGCCCGGCCUUGGAUAUGCCUUUAUCAACAGCAUGAAAAUGGACUAAUACAUACUCUUUUACUUAUCUUAAAAUGUACAAUUAAAUUAUUUUGACGAUAGUCACCCUGUUGUACUAUUGAAUACUAGCUAUGAAUAAUUACAUCACGGAGAAUGGAAUUCUUUUUCUUUUAUUUUCUUUCAUCUUUUUCUUUCUAUUUUCUUUUCCAUGAAACAAAACAUCAGAUGAGCGUCCAACCGUGAUAAACUCUUCUGUGCCAUUUUCAAACUGUCUUGGUCUAUCUUUCAUUCAUUAGGCAACGUGUUCUCUUCUUCAUUUUCAAACGACACUCUUAAUACUGUCAUACCAGGAGGAAAAAAAAAAAAAAAAA
ensembl:lncRNA